GCCGGGCACGGUGGUGCAUGCCUGUAGUCCCAGCUUAGGGAGGCUGAGGUGGGAGGAUCGCUUGAUCCCGGGAGUUCUGGGCUGUAGUACGCUAUGCUGAUCAGGUGUCCACACUAAGUUCGGCAUCAAUAUGGUGACUUCCCUGGAGCGGGGGACCACCAGGUUGCCUAAGGAGGGGUGAACCGGCCCAGGUCGGAAAUGGAGCAGGUCAAAACUCCUGUGCUGAUCAGUAGUGGAAUUGCGCCUGUGAAUAGCCACUGCACUCCAGCCUGGGCAACAUAGUGAGACCCUGUCUCUA
rnacentral:SRP_RNA from 1 species